rnacentral:rRNA from 1 species
GACGAACGCUGGCGGCGUGCUUAACACACGCAAGUCGAACGGAAAGGCCCUGCUUUUGUGGGGUGCUCGAGUGGCGAACGGGUGAGUAACACGUGAGUAACCUGCCCUUGACUUUGGGAUAACUUCAGGAAACUGGGGCUAAUACCGGAUAGGAGCUCCUGCUGCAUGGUGGGGGUUGGAAAGUUUCGGCGGUUGGGGAUGGGCUCGCGGCUUAUCAGCUUGUUGGUGGGGUAGUGGCUUACCAAGGCUUUGACGGGUAGCCGGCCUGAGAGGGUGACCGGCCACAUUGGGACUGAGAUACGGCCCAGACUCCUACGGGAGGCAGCAGUGGGGAAUAUUGCACAAUGGGCGGAAGCCUGAUGCAGCAACGCCGCGUGCGGGAUGACGGCCUUCGGGUUGUAAACCGCUUUCGCCUGUGACGAAGCGUGAGUGACGGUAAUGGGUAAAGAAGCACCGGCUAACUACGUG